UUUCUUGUAAUUAUCUAGGAGAUCUGCCCUGCCGCCUGAAAAUAUUUUGAAGGGCCGCACUAUUUUGACUGUGCAAAGGUAGCAUAAUCAUUAGUCUUUUAAUUAAAGGCUCGUAUGAAUGGUUGGAUGAGGUAAAUUCUGUUUUAUGUUAAUUGAUAUCGAAUCUAGAUUUUAAGUAAAAAUACUUAAAUGUUAUUAAGGGACGAGAAGACCCUAUAGAGUUUAAUAAAUGUAGUAAUUAAUUGAGUUAAAGUUUAAUUUUUGGUUUUUAUGUAAUUUAUUUAAUUGGGGUGAUUGGAAGAUAAAAUAAACUUUUCUUUAUAUUUAAUAAAUUAAUUAGUUGUAUGAUCCAUAUUUAAUGAUUAAAAGAUUAAAUUACCUUAGGGAUAACAGCAUAAUUCUUUUUAAGAGUUCAUAUCGAAAAAAGAGAUUGUGACCUCGAUGUUGGAUUAAGAUUAAUUAUGGGUGCAGAUGUUCAAUAACUAGGUCUGUUCGACCUUAAAAAUCUUACAUGAUCUGAGUUCAAACCGGAG
rnacentral:rRNA from 1 species